AGCGAACGCUGGCGGCAGGCCUAACACAUGCAAGUCGAACGAACCCUUCGGGGUUAGUGGCGGACGGGUGAGUAACACGUGGGAACGUGCCUUUAGGUUCGGAAUAACUCAGGGAAACUUGUGCUAAUACCGAAUGUGCCCUUCGGGGGAAAGAUUUAUCGCCUUUAGAGCGGCCCGCGUCUGAUUAGCUAGUUGGUGAGGUAAUGGCUCACCAAGGCUACGAUCAGUAGCUGGUCUGAGAGGAUGACCAGCCACAUUGGGACUGAGACACGGCCCAAACUCCUACGGGAGGCAGCAGUGGGGAAUCUUGCGCAAUGGGCGAAAGCCUGACGCAGCCAUGCCGCGUGGAUGAUGAAGGUCUUAGGAUUGUAAAAUCCUUUCACCGGGGACGAUAAUGACGGUACCCGGAGAAGAAGCCCCGGCUAACUUCGUGCCAGCAGCCGCAGUAACAC
rnacentral:rRNA from 1 species